rnacentral:rRNA from 1 species
CCUACGGGAGGCAGCAGUGGGGAAUAUUGCACAAUGGGGGAAACCCUGAUGCAGCGACGCCGCGUGAGUGAAGAAGGAUCUCGGUACGUCAAGCUCUAUCAGCAGGGAAGAAAAUGACGGUACCUGACUCAGAAGCCCCGGCUAACUACGUUCAAGCAGCCGCGGUUAUACGUCGGGGGCCAGCGUUAUCCGGCUUUACUGGGCGUAAAGGGGGCGUAGGUGGGAUGAUAAGUCUGGAGUUAAAUCUCGGGGGUUAACCACGAAACUGCCUUUGAAACUGGGAGGCUGGAGUGCAGGAGAGGUAAGCGGAAUUCCUAGUGUAGCGGUGAAAUGCGUAGAUAUUAGGAGGAACACCGGUGGCGAAGGCGGCUUACUGGACUGUAACUGACAUUGAGGCUCGAAAGCGUGGGGAGCAAACAGGAUUAGAUACCCUGGUAGUC